GAUGAACGCUGGCGGCGUGCCUAAUACAUGCCAGUCGAGCGAACGGACGAGAAGCUUGCUUCUCUGAUGUUAGCGGCGGACGGGUGAGUAACACGUGGAUAACCUACCUAUAAGACUGGGAUAACUUCGGGAAACCGGAGCUAACACCGGAUGAUAUUUUGAACCGCAUGGUUCAAAAGUGAAAGACGGUCUUGCUGUCACUUAUAGAUGGAUCCGCGCUGCAUUAGCUAGUUGGUAAGGUAACGGCUUACCAAGGCAACGAUGCAUAGCCGACCUGAGAGGGUGAUCGGCCACACUGGAACUGAGACACGGUCCAGACUCCUACGGGAGGCAGCAGUAGGGAAUCUUCCGCAAUGGGCGAAAGCCUGACGGAGCAACGCCGCGUGAGUGAUGAAGGUCUUCGGAUCGUAAAACUCUGUUAUUAGGGAAGAACAUAUGUGUAAGUAACUGUGCACAUCUUGACGGUACCUAAUCAGAAAGCCACGGCUAACUACGUG
rnacentral:rRNA from 1 species